ACCAAGUGUAGUGGCUUAUGUUUGUAGUCCUAGCACUUAGGAAGCUGGGACAGGAGGCUGAGUUGAGCCCAGGAGGUCAAGGGCCAGCCUGGGAAAUAUAGCAAGAUCCUGUCUCAA
rnacentral:sRNA from 1 species